rnacentral:hammerhead_ribozyme from 1 species
GCACUACUGAGAAGUCCCACAAUAGGACGAAACAGCUGUUCAGUGC